UAAUCCCUAGGCCCAAGGUCUCUAGCUGACCAACUGUGGCUCAGAUGCUGGCUCUUGGCCAACACAGCUCUUCAAGCGUGAACUGAUUUGACAGCUACUGUAGCCACCUUGCUCUGAUAUAUCCACACAAGGACUCUCCUUUCAAGCUUUUCCUUCCUUCAUGAGCAAACUGUUUUCAUGCUAAUCUCAACUUAUUUUACUCUUGCAGGGUGCUGAAGAAAUUUCCAAGCCUGGUACAACAUCCUCGUCAGACAUGACCCCACAAUCCUCCCUAGCAUAAUAGUGCAUAAUUGCAUAUGUGUGAAUCUAAAGAGGAGAAAGCAGGUGAAUUGCUUCCUCUUUCCAACACAUUUGGCUGUGGAGUUGUAAUGGUCAGAGUGCAGUUUUUCACUCAGCAGCCACUACUUUCUUUUGCCACUCUGUGAACAUGUAGACUCCAGCGAUAACACAUUAUUAUUUUUUUAAAUGAACAUGACCCACCUAAACAAACAGCUUGGUCAUUAAUCAUUUCAACUAAAGUAUGAUAUCAAAAGGAGUGCACUGUCUCCAGCUGGGGGAUGCCUUCCUCAUGGAGGCAUGUGUUCUCUGUGCAGCUGCAUGCCAAGCCUUCCUAAAUAUGCUCUAAUGCCACUUUUAACUGUGUAGGAAGACUAAGAAAUGCAUGUGUGUUUGUUAGGGGUCUCUGAUUUUACACAGGAAAAACCUUAAACAAACAACCCCGCCCACACUACACUAAACGGUAACGUGGUCUAGGCUGGGUUCACUGCCACGCUGCGCUGGUCAUGGGCGCCCCUCAGGCCGGACCGCACCCUGCCCCCUCACAUGGGAGUUGCAGAAGGCACCAGGAGCGGUACCGGUACCGACACCGGCCCCAGCGCCCGUUUGCUGCGGCAGGCGGAUACCUGCUGCCCUCGGCUCGGGCGCAGGACUGACAUCACACCCAGGAUUUCCAUCUGACUGAGGGGAAGAGGAGGAGAUUGAGCGGAGCGGCAGCGUGAUGGCGGUGGUCGGAAGGACUUAAGAAGCGGCGGCACAGCACAGCGCUUACUGUUUUUUCCCAGGCU
rnacentral:lncRNA from 1 species